rnacentral:rRNA from 1 species
CUACUAGGGUUUCUAAUCCUGUUUGCUCCCCACGCUUUCGAGCCUCAGCGUCAGUUACAGACCAGAGAGCCGCUUUCGCCACCGGUGUUCCUCCAUAUAUCUACGCAUUUCACCGCUACACAUGGAAUUCCACUCUCCCCUUCUGCACUCAAGUUAAACAGUUUCCAAAGCAUACUAUGGUUAAGCCACAGCCUUUAACUUCAGACUUAUCUAACCGCCUGCGCUCGCUUUACGCCCAAUAAAUCCGGACAACGCUCGGGACCUACGUAUUACCGCGGCGGCUGGCAC